rnacentral:rRNA from 2 species
AAAUUGAAGAGUUUGAUCAUGGCUCAGAUUGAACGCUGGCGGCAGGCCUAACACAUGCAAGUCGAACGGUAACAGGAAGCAGCUUGCUGCUUUGCUGACGAGUGGCGGACGGGUGAGUAAUGUCUGGGAAACUGCCUGAUGGAGGGGGGUAACUACUGGAAACGGUGGCUAAUACCGCAUAA